rnacentral:lncRNA from 1 species
AUGGCUACUGUGGCUGCAGAGUUCAAGUUGGGCCUUCCUUGGCUAUUUGCCAUCCCAAUGCCAAUUAGUGUACACAGAGCCUGGAUUCUUCUCCAGCCAGGAGGGGCAUGGUUACAGCCUGGCCUCAUCAUCAGAAGGUAUUUAUCGAGAGCCAGGGAAGAAGGAAGGAUCAAUGGCAUUGAACAAGAAAUGAGUGGCAGACCUCUGAAGAAAGAGAAUGGAUUCAAUGAAACUGACAAAGGGAAAAGAUGGUAGAUUCAGUAGCUGAUAAAGUGCUAGACCAGUGCCACACAGUGCCCGAAGACAUGCAGAAGCCACACAGGAGAGACUGACUCAUGAAGGGAGCAGAAAGGAAUUGCAAGGGCCCAGAUGUUUGGACUCUAACAAAUUUCCUGGUGGCUGAGGGAACUUGGAAGGAGAGAAUUCUAUGAACAACAAAGCUGCUUACUCUCCAAAAUGCCUAGGCUUGGGCAAGGUUCAUCUCCAUAGUAGUCAUUAUAGAAGCAGGGACAGAACUUGUUUUCAAGUUUCAUUACUUCAAGCCCCUAGAACUCUCAAUCUUAGAAAAGAAGAGGAAAACUCAAAAUAUUACUGAGACUGAACAUUCUACCAGCCAGGAGAGAAAAAUAAAGAGAGAAUGUUUCAUUGCCUCCACUGUUGUGAAACAAAUUCAUUCCUGUUCCCAAAAUUACUUAUUAUAUGUAUGUGUGUGUAUUUACUGGAAUGCUAUUCUAAAUAUUUACUGAAUAACAUAACAUGUUCUUCUGUGUCUUAUUAUUAUUAUUAUUAUGCCUAACAAAAUAUAUCAGACAUCUUGCAUUUUUUCAACACCUGCAAAGUGUUUAACUAUAUGGAUAUAUGCUGUCUUGUUCUUGAUAAGGUGAUGCUGAAGGAAAUUAGUACUAAGAGAUCCAGAAAAGUAUUGCAUUGACUUUUUAGAAGCAGAGUUUGCAGUUGAUUAUGCUGCUGUAAGAACGUUUAAAGCUCUAAGGAACUGUGCAUUCAUGUUUUUCAUAAAGAAAAUAAUUGCAUAGUAUUCUUUGUAUUUUUUCAACACUGACAGAUGGUAAGUGAACAGCCUGGGAGAAGAAGUGACCCAACUCGCUUCGGCAGUAUUAGAAAAGAUAUCAGAGUAAGAGGCAGACACUCCCACUGCCAAAGAUUUUGUUUUCUUUCUCUCUCAUCUCAUUCACAC